rnacentral:lncRNA from 1 species
GGCGUUGCAGAGGGAUGUUCGGAGGAAGCUCCGGGCGGGAGAGCCGCGUCCACUCCUCUUUCCAGACUAUGAUGGGGCCCAGGGACCCCUCCCCUCCGACUGAGCCCCAUAGACCCCCUACUCAGGCCAGAAGGGGAAAGCUGAGCUCCUGCUGGCCCAGGCAUCAGAAUUCCUCAGGGAGGAAAAGUUGCCUAUCUGUUGGGUCAGAUUUCUGAAGACUGAUGAGGCCCAUUUUCUGGCUGGAGUGAAAUGACAUGAUCUCAGCUCACUGAAACUUCUGCCUCCCAGGUUCAAGCAAUUCUCCUGCCUCAGCCUCGCGAGUAGCUGGGAUUACAGAUAUCCUUCGAGUUGGAUUUCGACUGGGUUCUGCCAGUGGGAUGUAUCCAUGCGAGAUUCUGGAACUAACAUCAGAGAGAGUCCAAGCUUCUAACUUUUAUCAGCGGCAGUGACAAUAGUCAAGCAGCAUUGAUGACAAACGGCAAGAGUUUAGAAAGUACCAGUGACGUGCCUGAUAGAAUCUCACCACAAGAUGGAAGCCAACUCGUCAGAAGCCUGGAAAGCCCACCCAGCGUGGGACCUCUGUGGGUCCAGGAUCUUGGAAUGGUAUCCCAUGGUUCAAUCUUCUGGAUUCAACCACAUAAAUUUACCCCACCCAUGUCGUGGACCCAAGCUUCCUACCAUGUAUACUUAGCUUAAAUGCAAGAUAGUACUAUUUUGUUCAUCUUGAUUGGAGUGAGAAAUGAAUAGGUCCAUGCACAUAUAUUUCUUUUACCACAACAAGAUGAUGAAGAAAUAAAUCCAUAAUAUCGAUACUUUUGUAUAAGUUGUGUUUACAGUUGCGGUAAGAAAUUUUAUAAUUGUUGAUUUGCUUUAUAUAAUUUCUGCUUGCUUUUUAUGAUAUUUAAAACAAAAUCUAAGCAACAAAUUUUAUGUCUGAUUAGAUUUACAGAAGCUGCUUAAGUGCUUAGGGAUAAUUUGUUCAUCAUAUUUGUAAGUCUCCCUUGUUAGGUGUUUGAAGUGUUUGAAUUGGCUAAAUUAAAUUUGUAAUUGUAGUUUGAAAUAUCUAAA